AGUCACUGACAUUAGAUACCCGUGUAGUCCAGGGUGUAAACGCUGCAGACUUGGUGUUGGAGGCCCUUUGGGGGCAUUCAGUGCCGGAGAGAAGUUGUUAAGUCUGCUACUUGGGGAGUACGUCCGCAAGGAUGAAACUUAAAGGAAUUGGCGGGGGAGCACCGCAACGGGAGGAGCGUGCGGUUUAAUUGGAUUCAACACCGUAGAACUCACCAGGGAAGACUGUUACAUGAAGGCCGAGAUGAAGACUCUGCUAGAUUUUCAG
rnacentral:rRNA from 1 species